rnacentral:rRNA from 1 species
GAGUCUGCCUUGAAGAUCGGAGUGCUUGCACUCUGUGAAACAAGAUACAGGCUAGCGGCGGACGGGUGAGUAACACGUGGGUAACCUGCCCAAGAGAUCGGGAUAACACCUGGAAACAGAUGCUAAUACCGGAUAACAACAGAUGAUGCCUAUCAACUGUUUAAAAGAUGGUUCUGCUAUCACUCUUGGAUGGACCUGCGGUGCAUUAGCUAGUUGGUAGGGUAACGGUCUACCAAGGCGAUGAUGCAUAGCCGAGUUGAGAGACUGAUCGGCCACAUUGGGACUGAGACACGGCCCAAACUCCUACGGGAGGCAGCAGUAGGGAAUCUUCCACAAUGGACGCAAGUCUGAUGGAGCAACGCCGCGUGAGUGAAGAAGGGUUUCGGCUCGUAAAGCUCUGUUGUUGGUGAAGAAGGACAGGGGUAGUAACUGACCUUUGUUUGACGGUAAUCAAUUAGAAAGUCACGGCUAACUACGUGCCAGCAGCCGCGGUAAUACGUAGGUGGCAAGCGUUGUCCGGAUUUAUUGGGCGUAAAGCGAGUGCAGGCGGCUCGAUAAGUCUGAUGUGAAAGCCUUCGGCUCAACCGGAGAAUUGCAUCAGAAACUGUCGAGCUUGAGUACAGAAGAGGAGAGUGGAACU